AGAAUCACUACUAAUAACUGUUUGCAUAAUAUAUUUACUUAAUAUCUUUUCAGGAUAGUUAGUCAAGAGAAGACAAUGCUUAAAACUGAGCACCGGGCCUAAACUGAAGUGCCUUGAGGAGUAGGUGAAAGAUGCUACAACAAAGAACAUCCCUUAUAAUCAUUUAAAUUGAACUUGGAUUGCCUAAAGAAUGAGAAAAGGAAACUAGUUUGAAUGGGACCACAGGCGGACUUGAAUCUAUCCUUAGAAUAACUCCAGAUGAUUCCCCUUUAUCAGUGAAGGCAUUCAAGAAUUGUCUUCUUUUGCUUCCAAAACUGUGUGUACUCUGGGAGUGCAGAUUAUUCUGAACACAGUAAAAAUUCUGCUUUACAUUUAUCUAUGGCCUGGAAGGAAAUGCUACAAACAUUGUGCAAUUGGGGGGAGAUGGAGCAACAAGAAAAGAGGAGUUUCAUACAGUCAAAGUAUCACAGAUCAUUGGAGCGGAAAGAAACUUGAAGGGGAAACUCAAGUCCAAGGUCCUCCAAUAAGACAAAAAACAAUUCCACAAGCAAAUAUUUGUUGAAUUGAUUACUUGCUAUGUGCAAAGCACUAUGAGGGUAUUGGGGACAAAGACAAAACAAAAAUAUUCCCUGGCCCCAAGGAGCUUAUGUUCUAUGUAAUUUGAAGAAGGCGAGAGGACUGACAGCUCUGGAGAUCAGAAAAUACUUCCCCAACAAUUGCACGUUUUGAGGUAGGUCCUAAAGUAAUUUAAGGACUCUUAAGAAGCAUAAGUGAAAAGGAAAUAUUUUUCUCUGCUUGUGGGACAGCAUUUGUAAAGCCAAGAAAAGCAUGAGAUAAACUGCUGGGUACGCAGAACAGCAAGCAAGAGAGUCUGGCUGGAGCAUCAAGUGAAUAAGGG
rnacentral:lncRNA from 1 species